rnacentral:tRNA from 1 species
GGUGGCUCAGUGGUAGAGUACAUGCCUUGCAUGCAUGAGGCCCUGGGUUCAAUUCCUCAGCACCA